GAUGAACGCUGGCGGCGUGCCUAAUACAUGCAAGUCGAGCGAACAGACGAGGAGCUUGCUCUUCUGACGUUAGCGGCGGACGGGUGAGUCACACGUGGAUAACCUACCUAUAAGACUGGGAUAACUUCGGGAAACCGGAUCUAAUACCGGAUAAUAUAUUGAACCGCAUGGUUCAAUAGUGAAAGACGGUUUUGCUGUCACUUAUAGAUGGAUCCGCGCCGCAUUAGCUAGUUGGUAAGGUAACGGCUUACCAAGGCAACGAUGCGUAGCCGACCUGAGAGGGGGAUCGGCCACACGGGAACUGAGACACGGUCCAGACUCCUAAGGGAGGCAGCAGUAGGGAAUCUGACGCAAUGGGCGAAAGCCUGACGGAGCAACGCCGCGUGAGUGAUGAAGGUCUUCGGAUCGUAAAACUCUGUUAUUAGGGAAGAACAAAUGUGUAAGUAACUAUGCACGUCUUGACGGUACCUAAUCAGAAAGCAACGGCUAACUACGUG
rnacentral:rRNA from 1 species